GUGCUUGCUUUGGCAGCACAUAUGCUAAAAUUGGAAUGAUACAGAGAAGAUUAGCAUGGCCCCUGAGCAAGGAUGACAGGCAAAUUCCUGAAGUGUUCCAUAUUUUU
ensembl:snRNA U6 U6 spliceosomal RNA